rnacentral:rRNA from 1 species
GGUGUCCUACGGGACGCAGCAGUGAGGAAUAUUGGUCAAUGGCCGGAAGGCUGAACCAGCCAAGCCGCGUGAAGGACGAAGGUGCCAAGCAUUGUAAACUUCUUUUGUCAAGGGACAAAAUCAGGCUCGAGAGCCUGACCGAGGGUACUUGAAGAAAAAGCAUCGGCUAACUCCGUGCCAGCAGCCGCGGUAAUACGGAGGAUGCGAGCUUUAUCCGGAUUUAUUGGGUUUAAAGGGUGCGUAGGCGGACUGUUAAGUCAGCGGUAAAAUCGCGGGGCACAACCCCGGCGAGCCGUUGAAACUGG